GCCCCUUAUGAUUUGGGCUACACACGUGCUACAAUGGACAAUACAAAGGGCAGCGAAACCGCGAGGUCAAGCAAAUCCCAUAAAGUUGUUCUCAGUUCGGAUUGUAGUCUGCAACUCGACUACAUGAAGCUGGAAUCGCUAGUAAUCGUAGAUCAGCAUGCUACGGUGAAUACGUUCCCGGGUCUUGUACACACCGCCCGUCACACCACGAGAGUUUGUAACA
rnacentral:rRNA from 1 species